AAACCGCUUAGAGGUAAACGGGUGGAUCCGCAAAGUCGGCCCGGGGAAUUCAACUUGCCGUUUGGGCUGUGGGCGCCUUGUCAGGGAUCCGUAAAGACCCGCCUGGUGUUCGGCAGUCGUCGGCGAGUGCACUUUCCUCGGGUAGAGCGCCACGACCGGUUUCGGAGCGGUCAUAAGCCGGCUGGGAAGGUGACUUCCUCCUCGGAGGAAGUGUUAUAGCCCGGCCAGGUCGGCUCGUUCCGAGACCGAGGAUUUGCCGCGUCUCACUGCCCUCGGCUCUCUUGGUGCGUUCGACUGGGGAAGCACUGCUUGCAGUUCUCUCCGACUGCGUGCCUUGAUCGGUCGGGAAGCACGGGGCGCUUCGGGUCAGUGGCGAAUCGGUCGGUCCUCCACCCGACCCGUCUUGAAACACGGACCAAGGAGUCUAACAUGUGCGCAAGUCAUGGGGUUCUGUACGAAACCUAAAGGCGCAAUGAAAGUGAAGGUCAACCUCCGGUCGGCCUAGGUAGGACCCCCGCGAGGGGCGCACUACCGGCCCGUCUCGACCACAUCGUUGGUGGGGCGGAGCAAGAGCGUACACGUUGGGACCCGAAAGAUGGUGAACUAUGCCUGAGUAGGACGAAGCCAGAGGAAACUCUGGUGGAGGUCCGUAGCGAUUCUGACGUGCAAAUCGAUCGUCAAACUUGGGUAUAGGGGCGAAAGACUAAUCGAACCAUCUAGUAGCUGGUUCCCUC
rnacentral:rRNA from 2 species